rnacentral:sRNA from 1 species
AUACAAUCUGAUUCAGGCUGAUGCUUCAAGUCCUCCAGUUUGCAGGGCAUCAGGGUGGUGCUGGGAUUCGCUGUUGCAGAUGUCCCAGUUGGGACAGCUGCCUCGGAGACUGAGGGUUGACUGUCUGAUACUGCUGCAGGGAGACAGGCCUUGGGGGCCUAGGGCUGGGAGGUUGGUUGGGCUAGAUUGUGAACAGGGAGGGCUUUGUCAGGAAGGCUUCUUGGAGGAGGCGCCCUGUGCUGGGAUGCAAAGAGGGCUGGGGAGUGGGAAGAGGGAGCUGCCCAGUCGGGAGAGCGGCCCCAGUGCCCUUUCUGCAGACUAAAGUGCCCUCUUCUCCUCGCCCUACCCCAGAGUCACCGGCCUGAGAAGGAGUGGCCUGUUAAGAGUCUCAAAGUCUACCUGGGAGUGAAGAAGAAACUCAGGCCACCCACCUGUUGGGGCUUCACAGUGGUGCAUGAGACAGAGAAACAUGAGAAGCAGCAGUGGUACCUCUGCUGUGACACACAGAUGGAGCUCCGGGAGUGGUUCGCUACCUUCCUGUUUGUGCAGCAUGACGGCCUGGUGUGGCCCUCAGAGCCCUCACGCGUGUCCCGGGCAGUGCCUGAGGUCCGGCUGGGCAGCGUGUCACUGAUCCCCCUUCGAGGUAGUGAAAACGAAAUGCGCCGGAGUGUGGCUGCCUUCACCGCGGACCCUCUGUCUCUCCUGCGCAACGUCUGAGCACAGGAGCCCAUCCUUGGCUCUAGGAUUCCGACGCUGGAAGCCUUCUGUUCAGA